UCCUACGGGAGGCAGCAGUGGGGAAUAUUGCACAAUGGGCGAAAGCCUGAUGCAGCGACGCCGCGUGAGGGAUGACGGCCUUCGGGUUGUAAACCUCUUUCAGUAGGGAAGAAGCGAAAGUGACGGUACCUGCAGAAGAAGCACCGGCUAACUACGUGCCAGCAGCCGCGGUAAUACGUAGGGUGCGAGCGUUAUCCGGAAUUAUUGGGCGUAAAGAGCUCGUAGGCGGUUUGUCUCGUCUGUCGUGAAAGUCCGGGGCUUAACCCCGGAUCUGCGGUGGGUACGGGCAGACUAGAGUGCAGUAGGGGAGACUGGAAUUCCUGGUGUAGCGGUGGAAUGCGCAGAUAUCAGGAGGAACACCGAUGCCGAAGGCAGGUCUCUGGGCUGUAACUGACGCUGAGGAGCGAAGCAUGGGAGCGAACAGGAUUAGAUACCCUGGUAGUCCAUGCCGUAAACGUUGGGCACUAGGUGUGGGGACCAUU
rnacentral:rRNA from 1 species